rnacentral:rRNA from 1 species
ACGUAGGGGGCAAGCGUUGUCCGGAAUCAUUGGGCGUAAAGCGCGUGUAGGCGGCUCGAUAAGUCUGCUGUGAAAGUCCAGGGCUCAACCCUGGAAUGCCGGUGGAAACUGUCGAGCUAGAGUCCGGAAGAGGCGAGUGGAAUUCCUGGUGUAGCGGUGAAAUGCGCAGAUAUCAGGAGGAACACCAAUGGCGAAGGCAGCUCGCUGGGACGGUACUGACGCUGAGACGCGAAAGCGUGGGGAGCAAACAGGAUUAGAUACCCUGGUAGUCCACGCCGUAAACGAUGGGUACUAGGUGUAGGGGGUGUCGACUCCCCCUGUGCCGACGCUAACGCAUUAAGUACCCCGCCUGGGGAGUACGGCCGCAAGGCUA